rnacentral:rRNA from 1 species
UACGUAGGGUGCAAGCGUUGUCCGGAAUUAUUGGGCGUAAAGAGUUCGUAGGCGGUUUGUCGCGUCCGUUGUGAAAGCUUGGGGCUCACCCCAAGUCUGCAGUGGAUACGGGCAGACUAGAGUCAGGUAGGGGAGAACGGAAUUCCUGGUGUAGCGGUGAAAUGCGCAGAUAUCAGGAGGAACACCGGUGGCGAAAGCGGCGCACUGGACCACAACUGACGCUGAGGCGCGAAAGCUAGGGGAGCAAACAGG